GUGAGGAAUAUUGGGCAAUGGAGGAAACUCUGACCCAGCCAUGCCGCGUGAGUGAAGAAGGUUUUCGGAUUGUAAAGCUCUUUCGCACGGGACGAUGAUGACGGUACCGUGAUAAGAAGCCCCGGCUAACUUCGUGCCAGCAGCCGCGGUAAUACGAAGGGGGCAAGCGUUGUUCGGAAUUACUGGGCGUAAAGGGAGUGUAGGCGGUUAUGUAAGAUAGCGGUGAAAUGCCGGGGCUCAACCUCGGAAUUGCCGUUAUAACUAUGUAACUAGAAUGAUAGAGAGGAUAGCGGAAUACCCAGUGUAGAGGUGAAAUUCGUAGAUAUUGGGUAGAACACCGGUGGCGAAGGCGGCUAUCUGGCUAUAAAUUGACGCUGAGGCUCGAAAGCAUGGGGAUCAAACAGGAUUAGAAACCCUUGUAGUCC
rnacentral:rRNA from 1 species